UACGGAGGGUGCAAGCGUUAUCCGGAUUCACUGGGUUUAAAGGGUGCGUAGGCGGGUUGGUAAGUCCGUGGUGAAAUCCCCAAGCUUAACUUGGGAACUGCCGUGGAUACUAUCAAUCUUGAAUAUCGUGGAGGUAAGCGGAAUAUGUCAUGUAGCGGUGAAAUGCUUAGAUAUGACACAGAACACCGAUUGCGAAGGCAGCUAACUAAGUCAUAACUGACGCUGAUGCACGAAAGCGUGGGGAGCAAACAGG
rnacentral:rRNA from 1 species